rnacentral:rRNA from 1 species
CUGACGAGUGGCGAACGGGUGAGUAAUAUAUCGGAACGUGCCCAGUCGUGGGGGAUAACUACUCGAAAGAGUAGCUAAUACCGCAUACGACCUGAGGGUGAAAGCGGGGGAUCGCAAGACCUCGCGCGAUUGGAGCGGCCGAUAUCAGAUUAGGUAGUUGGUGGGGUAAAAGCCCACCAAGCCAACGAUCUGUAGCUGGUCUGAGAGGACGACCAGCCACACUGGGACUGAGACACGGCCCAGACUCCUACGGGAGGCAGCAGUGGGGAAUUUUGGACAAUGGGCGCAAGCCUGAUCCAGCCAUGCCGCGUGCGGGAAGAAGGCCUUCGGGUUGUAAACCGCUUUUGUCAGGGAAGAAAAGGUUCUGGUUAAUACCUGGGACUCAUGACGGUACCUGAAGAAUAAGCACCGGCUAACUACGUGCCAGCAGCCGCGGUAAUACGUAGGGUGCAAGCGUUAAUCGGAAUUACUGGGCGUAAAGCGUGCGCAGGCGGUUAUGCAAGACAGAGGUGAAAUCCCCGGGCUCAACCUGGGAACUGCCUUUGUGACUGCAUAGCUAGAGUACGGUAGAGGGGGAUGGAAUUCCGCGUGUAGCAGUGAAAUGCGUAGAUAUGCGGAGGAACACCGAUGGCGAAGGCAAUCCCCUGGAC